GCAUGGGAGUGGGUGGAAAGCUCCGCUUGCGGUGACAGGAUAGAUCCCGCGGCCUAUCAGCUUGUUGGUGGGGUAAUGCCGGCCUACCAAGGCGACGACGGGUAGCCGAGCCUGAGAGGGCGACCGGCCACACUGGGACUGAGACACGGCCCAGACUCCUACGGGAGGCAGCAGUGGGGAAUAUUGCACAAUGGGCGAAAGCCUGAUGCAGCGACGCCGCGUGAGGGAUGACGGCCUUCGGGUUGUAAACCUCUUUCAGCAGGGAAGAAGCGCAAGUGACGGUACCUGCAGAAGAAGCACCGGCUAACUACGUGCCAGCAGCCGCGGUAAUACGUAGGGUGCGAGCGUUGUCCGGAAUUAUUGGGCGUAAAGAGCUCGUAGGCGGCCGGUCGCGUCGGACGUGAAAGCCCGGGGCUUAACCCCGGGUCUGCAUUCGAUACGGGCAGGCUAGAGUGUGGUAGGGGAGAUCGGAAUUCCUGGUGUAGCGGUGAAAUGCGCAGAUAUCAGGAGGAACACCGGUGGCGAAGGCGGAUCUCUGGGCCAUUACUGACGCUGAGGAGCGAAAGCGUGGGGAGCGAACAGGAUUAGAUACCCUGGUAGUCCACGCCGUAAACGUUGGGAACUAGGUGUUGGCGACAUUCCACGUCGUCGGUGCCGCAGCUAACGCAUUAAGUUCCCCGCCUGGGGGAGUACGGCCGCAAGGCUAAAACUCAAAGGAAUUGACGGGGGCCCGCACAAGCAGCGGAGCAUGUGGCUUAAUUCGACGCAACGCGAAGAACCUUACCAAGGCUUGACAUACACCGGAAACUGGGUAGAGAUAUCAGCCCCCUUGUGGUCGGUGUACAGGUGGGUGCAUGGUAGUCGUCAGCUCGUGUCGUGAGAUGUUGGGGUUAAGUCCCGCAACGAGCGCAACCCUUUGUUCUGUGUUGCCAGCGACCAAUGACAUUGUUACUGGGGUCGGGGACUCCCAGGAGACUUGCCGGGGUCAACUCCGAGAGAAGGUAGGGGACGAACCUCCAAUCAUCAUGGCCCUUUAUGUCUUGGGCUUGCACACGUGCUACAAUGGUCCGGUAACAAAGGGCUGCGAUGCCGCGAGAGCGGAGCGAAUUCCAAAAAAGCAGGUCUGAGUUUCGGAUUGGGGGCUUGCAAAUCGAACCCAUGGAAAGUUGGGAUGUUGCUAGUAUUCCGGAGAUCAGUAUGUCGCGGUGGAAUACGUUCCCCGGCCUUUGUACACACCGCCCGUCACGUCACGAAAAUAGGGAAGC
rnacentral:rRNA from 1 species